GUCGGCCUCGCUCUGCGCACGGGGAUGCCCCAGAGCCCCGGGAGAGGUGGAAACUCGGGAUGCUGGGGGCGGCUCCUGGAGUUUCCGGGAAGGCUCCACAGAGGAGAAAUGUGAACUUCUUUCAAAAAGAGCCGGGUCAUCUGAGGACGUGUUAGGAGCUUGGAUCUCCUCCUGUGAGCGUGGGGUUUCGGACAGGGUCUUCUCUAACCAUCGGAGCGGAGGACACACAGAGUGAAGGGCAGGGCUCUGUCAGGUUGCUGGCCUCCUAGGUUCUGCCACUGCCCUGCAAAGGCCACAAGGGCUCUGAAGAUGGAAAGCGGAUGAGAGCCAGUCAGAAGCAGCUCAGAGGGCUACCUGGGGUGCAGGGUCUGGCCGGCUGUGAUGUACCUGAGCUCACCUGGUCCUGUCCGGUUCCAUCCACGCCCCCUCCUGCCUUCCGCCCACCCCUGACCGCCCCCACCAGCAGCGCCCUCCCUUACUGACAGCCCUAACUACUAUUCAGCUCAGGCAGGUCCUAGCUUCCCCCUGCCCUGGACUCUGGGGGGCGGAGCCUCAAAGGGGAAUCUCACCCCGGCCAGACUCCUUCUAGGACCAACAGGACAUCGGAGUGAAGGAAUGUUUUGUAAACUUUGAAUUACUUUUUACGAGAAAUCUGUAAUAACAUGGGAAGACGGGGCACCCGGGAGGCUCAGUGGGUCAAGCCUCUGCCUUCGGUGUGGGUCAUGAUCCUGGGGUCCUGGGAUCGAGC